rnacentral:rRNA from 1 species
GACGAACGCUGGCGGCGUGCUUAACACAUGCAAGUCGAACAGAAAGGCCCUGCUUUUGUGGGGUGCUCGAGUGGCGAACGGGUGAGUAACACGUGAGUAACCUGCCCUUGACUUUGGGAUAACUUCAGGAAACUGGGGCUAAUACCGGAUAGGAGCUCCUGCUGCAUGGUGGGGGUUGGAAAGUUUCGGCGGUUGGGGAUGGACUCGCGGCUUAUCAGCUUGUUGGUGGGGUAGUGGCUUACCAAGGCUUUGACGGGUAGCCGGCCUGAGAGGGUGACCGGCCACAUUGGGACUGAGAUACGGCCCAGACUCCUACGGGAGGCAGCAGUGGGGAAUAUUGCACAAUGGGCGGAAGCCUGAUGCAGCAACGCCGCGUGCGGGAUGACGGCCUUCGGGUUGUAAACCGCUUUCGCCUGUGACGAAGCGUGAGUGACGGGAAUGGGUAAAGAAGCACCGGCUAACUACGU